rnacentral:lncRNA from 1 species
AAGUUUUAGGGAGGAAGCUGUCAGAGUCACCCAGUGAGCUGUUCAGAGCUGGAGCCACAGAGCAGGUGAGGAGUCCUGGCCAUGUCCCCGUGUGCGCUGAGAAGCUGGGGUGGGGCACACCCCAGGGGCCAGAUGCAAACAGUGGACCUCGGGCCCUCCUCCUGCCCAGAGGAUGCUCAGCUCCCAAGGGACUACCAAGACCUGGAACCCAGGGACAAACCACCUGACCAUCAUGCCCAGGCCUCCUGGAUCAGGCAAUGUCCAGUACAGGCAGGCAGUCUGGGCUUGGGGCCAGGACAGGGGUGGAUGGUCCUGCUAGGCAGGCCUCCUUCUCCCUACCAGCUGGGCUGGUUGCACUGUAGUUUUGGUUCUGGCAACAUAUUGCUGCCCACUUUGGCCACACCAGUCCCCGGUUCCCUGGCUAGGCCCAGUGCUGUCCAACCUACCUACACAGGCCCCACACACCCAGUGCCCACUAGGCUCUGUCAGCCAGGAGGACCCAUUCUCAUCCCCUGAAGUUUCCAUGGGAGCCUGCGUCCCACAGGGACCCACAGCUCAGGGCCAACCUCCAUGUGGGCCUCUUGGUCAUGGUGGUAGGGGCGGGGGGGAGUUGACCUCCAGCCCUCCCAUCCUGGCCACUGUAUUUUGUGGGGAUCAUUCAGUCCUGGGAGCUUCCUGGGGAUGCCAGAAGGAAGAGAACAGGGUGGUCAUGGCAGCCUCAGCCCCAGGCUCUGGGCCGGAAUUUGAUAACGACCAAUUGAGAGCAACCACUGAAUUCGAUCCUCUUACAGUUCCACGAGAAGUUGGUGAAGAACUGAAUGUAGACCAUUCUAUGGCCAUCUGGCAUUUGAAGCCAAUUGGAAAGCUGAAAAAUCUUGAUAAGUGGGUGCCUCAUGAGCUGACCAAAUAUUUUAAAAAUCAUCCUUUUGAAGUGUCAUCUUCUCUUAUUCUAUGAAACAACAAUGAACCAUUUCUUGAUCAGAUUGUGACAUGCCAUGAAUAGUGGAUUUCAUACAACAGCCAGCUCACUGGUUGGACUGAGAAGAAGCUCCAAACCACUUCCCAAAGUCAAACUUGUACCAAAAAAAGGUCAUGGUCACUGUUUGGUGGUCAGCUGCCGGUCUUCUGAUCCACUACACUUUUUGAAUCCUGGUGAAAUCAUUACAUCUGAGAAGUAUGCCAAGUUAAUCGAUGAGAUGCAUGGAAAACUGCAGCACCUGGAGCUGGCACUGGUCAACAUGAAGGGCCCAGUUCUCCACAAUGCAUGACCACAUGUCAUACAACCAGGACUUCAAAAGUUGAAUAAACUGGGCUAUGAAGUUUUGUCUCAUCUGCCAUAUUCAUCUGACCUCUCGCCAACCAACUACCACUUCUUUAAGCAUCUUGACAACUUUUUGCAGGGAAAACACUUACACAACCAUCAGGAUGCAGAAAAUGCUUUCCAAGAGUUCAUCGAACCCUGAAAGCAUGGAAUAAACAAGUUUAUUUCUCAUUGGCAAAAA